rnacentral:antisense_RNA from 1 species
GAACCCAAGACAACCCCUGCUGAUUCCUCACAGCUGACUUGUGACAUGCCUAGUAUUUCCCAUCAUUAUCUUAAACAAUGACCUCCUGAAAAUACAUCUGACGAAGAGAGCUGGGGACACAGAUACAGCAGACCUGGUCAUUCUUUUAAUGGAAGGGUGACCCUCAAUAAAGACACGGGAAUGGCAGCUGUGCCAGCGCCAGUAGACCUGGAUGAUGCGGACAGCGUUGAGCAAACGACAGUAACGCUGGCGGACACGCCACAUGCGGACCCAGGACUGCAGCCUGACUGCUGCCCAUUCCUGCUGCACAUAGAACUCCAACACCAUCCUCCGCCUCUUUGCCAGCAGCUUCUCCAGCAUCUGCCUCCACCAGCACUGAAUGAUCCAAGCCCUGAGGGCUGCAUGCAGCAGUGUGCGUCGCACCAGCAUGCCCCGCCACCAGGCCUGGAUGAAAACAGCUGCAGACCUUUCUGUCAUGAUGGUCUUCUCUUCUGGGCCUUACAAGAGAAAACAGACACACUCAGGGUAUGCCAGGAAGGGGCCCUGAUCCUCUAUCAAUGAUGGCUCCUUCCUCUAAAGUUCAGCACUGGGCAGGGCAACAGCUGAACCCAGGAGACCAGGUGUACAUCUGCCCUAGCUACCUCACCCCAUUUUCCAUGGACCUUGCUGGCCAGUCUAGAGCAAGAACACUGUGACUUAGAGGUAAAAGAGCUGCCAUCUACCUGGGAUUCAUGACUCUUCCCUUCAGAGCCCUCCCACCUGCUGGAGAAGUGGUGUCCUUUGCUCCUCCUGCUCUCUUUACUCUGACUUCAAGUCAAACCCACAAGCUGCUGUGUUCUCUCCUCUUCACCAAAGUGGUAACAGAUUCCUCCACCUCACACACAUUGUGAACAGCUUGAACUUCAGCUAUGCAUGCAUCUGUACAAACAUGCACACUCCACACACUAACACACAUUUUGCCCCUUGGUCCCUGCAUUCCCCACAGUCCCCACUUGCAGCCCCCAGCCCUAUGUGGUCUGGGAUCACACUCCUCUGCCCCACUCCUGGCCACAAUCUCCACUCUGUAUCUCAGCCAGACUCACAUCUCUCUGCCUGACAAGAAAAUGGGGGCAAGAGACAGCCAAUCCCCAUUCAUUCCAGCUCUGCAUACCCUGACAUUUCACCCCAGUUUUUCUGGGACACCCUGAUUGAUGUCAGGUAAUGAGGACAGGUGCCUGUUUCCCUCACUGAAGCCACUCUUUGUACAAUAAAUUACAGCAUCAUAGAUCUUUGAGUCACUCUGCUGGACCACAGGGGUCAGAGAUGUCACUAGUUAAGGCUCUCUGGACCCAGCCACUCAUGGAGUUAUGGGUAAGGGUGUGGCCUGGUAGGGGUGAGGGUGUUGGAGGUGGAGUCGCUUCCCUCUUCUCCCAUUUGUUCCUUCCAGCUCUGUUCUAUCGAUGUGAUUUCAUCAUUAUCUUUGAUGAUCAUUUAAAACAGCUUGCCAUCCUUCUGGAAUCAGAGUGUUUGGGGGGAAAUAGGGAAGAAAGUGAAAGGUGCUCUCCCACUGCUAGGUGCCAAGUCAAACACCAUUCUCACUGUUUCUAGACAGCUUCCUGGCUUUCUCUAGGACUUCAAACAUGGAGGCGGGGGUCCUGUCAUGAGUAACUGUGGGGAACUUACUCUCCCCUCUCAGAAAGCUAGUGUGCUUCUGACUACCUCUUACAAAACAUCUGACUGGGGACAGGUCAUAAAAUCUCCACAGGUCUGGACUUUACUAAAUUACCCAUGAUUAGGGGCUAGAUGGUUCCAUCACCCUCCGGCCCGCACUCCUCCGAUCAGGACUCCAAUAGGAAGAGUGGAGGAAGGGCGGGACCUGUGAUGUCACAAGGGCACCUGUGAUGCAGGCACCAGGACAGCUUCCAGCAUAUGAGCCUCUUCUAAGGAAAACCUAGAAGACCCCAAGUACUGACCCAUUGACACAAAGGUAUAUAAUGCUGCUCAUUAAAAUCUGGCUGGUAUUCAU